rnacentral:rRNA from 1 species
UCGAUGAUACGCGAGGAACCUUACCCGGGCUCGAACGGCAGAGGAACAAUCCAGAGAUGGUGCGGCCCUUCGGGCUUCUGUCGAGGUGCUGCAUGGUUGUCGUCAGCUCGUGCCGUGAGGUGUCGGCUCAAGUGCCAUAACGAGCGCAACCCUUGCCGUCAGUUACCAUCAAGUAGUGUUGGGGACUCUGGCGGGACUGCCACCGCAAGGUGUGAGGAAGGGGGGGAUGACGUCAAAUCAGCACGGCCCUUACGUCCGGGGCGACACACGUGUUACAAUGGCGGCCACAGAGGGGCACUACCUGGCGACAGGAUGGGAAUCUCGAAAAGCCGUCUCAGUCCGGAUCGGAGUCUGCAACCCGACUCCGUGAAGCUGGAUUCGCUAGUAAUCGCGCAUCAGCCAUGGCGCGGUGAAUACGUUCCCGGGCCUUGUACACACCGCCCGUCAAGCCAUGAAAGUCUGGGGCGCCUGAAGUCCGUGACCGAGAGGAGCGGCCUAGGGCGAAACAGGUAAUUGGGGCU